GCAAAGUGUGUGUGCAGGAGAGGAGUCGAGCAGAGAGAGCUGCUUUUUCAUGAAACGGGAGUAAAGUAGUAAAUUUACAGGAACAUAUACCACUGCCAACGUUGGGAUUAAUUUCUGCAUCGAUCUGCACACCCUUGUGUCCUGGAUCGUAGCCGAGAUCAGCGUGAACCACGUGGGUCUCUGCUCCCUGAUCUGUUUCUUAAGACUUCCAGCUUCAUCACGGAGUUUCUCUCGGUUUGUGGGCUCAUAUAAAGGUGAUUAACAGGAGGAGAAGAGUCUGGUGGUGCAACGGAGGAACAAUUUCAUCCAUUUGGACUCAGCUCAGCCACUACAGAGGAAACAAUCAAUGACUUCAACACAAAAGGACCAACAUGGAGCGAGAAGUCAGCGCUCUCAGGAGGCCGA